CGACCGCCAGACCCCAUUCCUUAUUAAUUCACUCAUUCAUUCUCUCUCUUAUGCUGAUGCUAGUGUGGACUGUGGAGUAGCUUUUACUUUUACUUUUCUAUUAAAACCAAAUUAAUGAUUAUCUUCAUCAUUGCACUAUUUCCUUAUAAUAUACCGCAAAACGAAACCUAGAGAGUAUUCAUAAGAUAUUCAGAAUCAGAUUAUAUAUGAGAUAGCUAGGUAGCAAUAUAAAGAGAUCAAUCGUCUUGGAAGCUCUGAUAUUUUGUGGGGAAUGCUGCCUGGUCCAAGGAGAUCAAUAUAUGAUCACUGUCCCAAUAUAUAUACCUAUACCUUAAAUUUUACUUCAAGCAAUCCAUGGAAACUAAUCCAUUUUCACACAAACAGUUGAAUUAUUAAUAUCAUUGAAUUUGUUAUUGUUUCCUCUUCGGACCAGGCUUCAUUCCCCUCAAU
rnacentral:lncRNA from 1 species